rnacentral:misc_RNA from 1 species
AACGCAAAUUGCACUCUCUUCGGAGAGUAUGCCUGUUUGAGGGUCAGUAUUAAUAAAAAUCGGCGUGUUGCUCUCUUGUGACGUUCCGGAGUUUGAGUUAUCUUAACUCUUCUGGGUUUUAAGAGGCUUAAAAUUGACCUUUUUUGUGCAUUUUAGACGUACAUAAAUUUUUUUUUUAUUCGUCUAUCUUAAUGCCAAAAUCUAUUAGAUGCGACCAUAUCGUGUGGUUUCGUGUCCAUAAAUUUUUCAUGAUUUGACCUCAAAUCAGGUAAGAACACCCGCUGAACUUAA